AGCGAACGCUGGCGGCAGGCCUAACACAUGCGAGUCGAACGAACUCUUCGGAGUUAGUGGCGGACGGGUGAGUAACACGUGGGAACGUGCCUUUUGGUUCGGAAUAACUCAGGGAAACUUGUGCUAAUACCGAAUGUGCCCUUCGGGGGAGAGAUUUAUCGCCAUUAGAGCGGCCCGCGUCUGAUUAGCUAGUUGGUGAGGUAACGGCUCACCAAGGCGACGAUCAGUAGCUGGUCUGAGAGGAUGACCAGCCACACUGGGACUGAGACACGGCCCAGACUCCUACGGGAGGCAGCAGUGGGGAAUCUUGCGCAAUGGGCGAAAGCCUGACGCAGCCAUGCCGCGUGAAUGAUGAAGGUCUUAGGAUUGUAAAAUUCUUUCACCGGGGACGAUAAUGACGGUACCCGGAGAAGAAGCCCCGGCUAACUUCGUG
rnacentral:rRNA from 1 species